ACGCUGGCGGCAUGCCUUACACAUGCAAGUCGAACGGCAGCGCGGGGCAACCUGGCGGCGAGUGGCGAACGGGUGAGUAAUAUAUCGGAACGUACCCUGGAGUGGGGGAUAACGUAGCGAAAGUUACGCUAAUACCGCAUACGAUCUAAGGAUGAAAGUGGGGGAUUCGCAAGAACCUCAUGCUCCUGGAGCGGCCGAUAUCUGAUUAGCUAGUUGGUGGGGUAAAGGCCUACCAAGGCAUCGAUCAGUAGCUGGUCUGAGAGGACGACCAGCCACACUGGAACUGAGACACGGUCCAGACUCCUACGGGAGGCAGCAGUGGGGAAUUUUGGACAAUGGGCGAAAGCCUGAUCCAGCAAUGCCGCGUGAGUGAAGAAGGCCUUCGGGUUGUAAAGCUCUUUUGUCAGGGAAGAAACGGUGAAAGCUAAUAUCUUUUGCUAAUGACGGUACCUGAAGAAUAAGCCACCGGCUAACUACGUGCCAGCAGCCGCGGUAAUACGUAGGGUGCAAGCGUUAAUCGGAAUUACUGGGCGUAAAGCGUGCGCAGGCGGUUUUGUAAGUCUGUCGUGAAAUCCCCGGGCUCAACCUGGGAAUUGCGAUGGAGACUGCAAGGCUAGAAUCUGGCAGAGGGGGGUAGAAUUCCACGUGUAGCAGUGAAAUGCGUAGAGAUGUGGAGGAACACCGAUGGCGAAGGCAGCCCCCUGGGUCAAGAUUGACGCUCAUGCACGAAAGCGUGGGGAGCAAACAGGAUUAGAUACCCUGGUAGUCCACGCCCUAAACGAUGUCUACUAGUUGUCGGGUUUUAAUUAACUUGGUAACGCAGCUAACGCGUGAAGUAGACCGCCUGGGGAGUACGGUCGCAAGAUUAAAACUCAAAGGAAUUGACGGGGACCCGCACAAGCGGUGGAUGAUGUGGAUUAAUUCGAUGCAACGCGAAAAACCUUACCUACCCUUGACAUGUACGGAAGCCACGAGAGAUCGAGGUGUGCUCGAAAGAGAGCCGUAACACAGGUGCUGCAUGGCUGUCGUCAGCUCGUGUCGUGAGAUGUUGGGUUAAGUCCCGCAACGAGCGCAACCCUUGUCAUUAGUUGCUACGAAAGAGCACUCUAAUGAGACUGCCGGUGACAAACCGGAGGAAGGUGGGGAUGACGUCAAGUCCUCAUGGCCCUUAUGGGUAGGGCUUCACACGUCAUACAAUGGUACAUACAGAGGGCCGCCAACCCGCGAGGGGGAGCUAAUCCCAGAAAGUGUAUCGUAGUCCGGAUUGUAGUCUGCAACUCGACUACAUGAAGUUGGAAUCGCUAGUAAUCGCGGAUCAGCAUGUCGCGGUGAAUACGUUCCCGGGUCUUGUACACACCGCCCGUCACACCAUGGGAGCGGGUUUUACCAGAAGUAGGUAGCUUAACCGCAAGGGGGGCGCUUACCACGGUAGGAUUCGUGACUGGGGUG
rnacentral:rRNA from 1 species